rnacentral:rRNA from 1 species
CCUCCGGGCGGCUGCAGUGGGGAAUAUUGGACAAUGGGCGAAAGCCUGAUCCAGCCAUGCCGCGUGAGUGAUGAAGGCCUUAGGGUUGUAAAGCUCUUUCAGUGGGGAAGAUAAUGACGGUACCCACAGAAGAAGCCCCGGCUAACUUCGUGCCAGCAGCCGCGGUAAUACGAAGGGGGCUAGCGUUGUUCGGAUUUACUGGGCGUAAAGCGCACGUAGGCGGAUCGUUAAGUCGGGGGUGAAAUCCUGGAGCUCAACUCCAGAACUGCCUUCGAUACUGGCGAUCUUGAGUCCGGAAGAGGUGAGUGGAACUCCUAGUGUAGAGGUGGAAUUCGUAGAUAUUAGGAAGAACACCAGUGGCGAAGGCGGCUCACUGGUCCGGUACUGACGCUGAGGUGCGAAAGCGUGGGGAGCAAACAGGAUUAGAUACCCCGGUAGUC